rnacentral:rRNA from 1 species
UUGAACGCUGGCGGCAUGCCUUACGCAUGCAAGUCGAACGGUAACGGGCCUUCGGGUGCCGACGAGUGGCGAACGGGUGAGUAAUACAUCGGAACGUGCCCGAUCGUGGGGGAUAACGAGGCGAAAGCUUUGCUAAUACCGCAUACGAUCUACGGAUGAAAGCAGGGGACCGCAAGGCCUUGCGCGGACGGAGCGGCCGAUGGCAGAUUAGGUAGUUGGUGGGAUAAAAGCUUACCAAGCCGACGAUCUGUAGCUGGUCUGAGAGGAUGAUCAGCCACACUGGGACUGAGACACGGCCCAGACUCCUACGGGAGGCAGCAGUGGGGAAUUUUGGACAAUGGGCGCAAGCCUGAUCCAGCCAUGCCGCGUGCAGGAUGAAGGCCUUCGGGUUGUAAACUGCUUUUGUACGGAACGAAAAGCCUUCUUUUAAUACAGGAGGGUCAUGACGGUACCGUAAGAAUAAGCACCGGCUAACUACGUG